ACUUGGAAUCCUUGUAUUAACUGGCCGCUUAAAAAUUACAAAUAUAAGAUGAAACACAGUUUACUAAUUAACGGAGCGAAAUUAAUCGCCGCUUCAUUCAAAUUUCUUAUCUAUCAACUUUCGAUGGUAAUAUAGAGGAUUACCAUGGUUUUAACGGGUAACAGAGAAUAAGGGUUUUAUUCUGGAGAUGGGGCCUAGAGAAAUUGCCACAACUUCCAAGGAAGGCAGCAGGCGCGCAAAUUACCCAAUAAUAACACAUUGAGGUAGUAACAAAAAAUAACGACGGAGUACUAGUAGAGCAAUCUAUUAGCCGAUUGUAAUGAGUACGGUGUAAAAAACCUAAUAAGUAACAACUAGGGGGCAAGUCUGGUGCCAGCAGCCGCGGUAAUUCCAGCUCUAGUAGCGUAUAUUUAAGUUGUUGUAAUUAAAAAGCUCGUAGUUAAAGUUUGGCUUGGUAAUUUUGUUUUGAGUGAAAUAAAUUCAUUUGGGAUGUUUUUCUAGCUAUAAAGUGAAUAGUAGGCGCUCAGCGUAGUUGAAAGAUUGCGUUGGGAUGGUUUCUAUUUAUAUUACCAUAAGUAAAAUAGAGUGUUUAAGGCAAAACGUUAUGUUUAUUGAAUAAUAGAGUAUGGGAUAAUAGAAUAUGAAAGGGGAUCGAUGUAGUUUUCUAGUAGCAAUAAUAGAGUCGGUUUUUUUUAAUGAUUAAUAGGGGCAAUUGGGGUAAUUAAUAUUUCUACACGAGCGGUGAAAUGCGUAGACUGUAGAAAGAUUAACUAAUGCGAAAGCAUUUUACAAAGGUGUUUUCAUUAAUCAAGAACGAAAGUUAAGGGAUCGAAGAUGAUCAGAUACCGUCGUAGUCUUAACCAUAAACAAUGUCGACAAAAGAUAGGAUUGAAAGUAUCAAUAUACUUUCUUAUUUUUUAAAGGUACUAAAACAAGGGUUCGCCCUUAUUAUAUGUCUCUUCCCGCAUUUUGUAAGAAAUUAAAGUUAUCGGACUUUGGGGGGAGUAUGGUCGCAAGGCUGAAACUUAAAGGAAUUGACGGAAGGGCACCACCAGGUGUGGAACUUGCGGUUUAAUUUGACCCAACACGGGGAAACUCACCAGGUCAGAACAUAGUAAGGAUUGACAGAUUAAGAGAUCUUUCAUAAUUUUAUGGGUGGUGGUGCAUGGCCGAUCUUAGUUCGUGAUAUGAAUUGUCGGCUUAAUUGCGUUAACGAACGAGACCUUUUGAGAUAAAUAGUGGCUAGUAGCAGUU
rnacentral:rRNA from 1 species